UGCCCGGUCGUCUAAUGGUAGGACGACGGACUCUGAAUCCGUCUGUGGAGGUUCGACUCCUCCCUGGGCAACAA
rnacentral:tRNA from 4 species